rnacentral:miRNA from 1 species
AAGCACACUACAUAGCGGUGC